rnacentral:rRNA from 1 species
ACGAACGCUGGCGGCAGGCUUAACACAUGCAAGUCGCGCGCAUCCUUCGGGGUGAGCGGCGGACGGGUGAGUAACGCGUGGGAACGUGCCCUCUUCUACGGAAUAGCCUCGGGAAACUGAGAGUAAUGCCGUAUACGCCCGCAAGGGGAAAGAUUUAUCGGAGGAGGAUCGGCCCGCGUUGGAUUAGGUAGUUGGUGGGGUAACGGCCUACCAAGCCGACGAUCCAUAGCUGGUUUGAGAGGAUGAUCAGCCACACUGGGACUGAGACACGGCCCAGACUCCUACGGGAGGCAGCAGUGGGGAAUCUUGGACAAUGGGGGCAACCCUGAUCCAGCCAUGCCGCGUGAUCGAUGAAGGCCUUAGGGUUGUAAAGAUCUUUCAGCUGGGAAGAUAAUGACGGUACCAGCAGAAGAAGCCCCGGCUAACUCCGUG